rnacentral:rRNA from 1 species
AUGCCUAACACAUGCAAGUCGAACGGAGUAUUGGAUUCGUCUGGAUACUUAGUGGCGGACGGGUGAGUAACACGUGAGCAACCUGCCCUUCAGAGGGGGACAACAGUUGGAAACGACUGCUAAUACCGCAUAACAUAUACUUGAGGCAUCUUGAGUAUAUCAAAGAUUUAUCGCUGAGGGAUGGGCUCGCGUCUGAUUAGAUAGUUGGUGAGGUAACGGCCCACCAAGUCUGCGAUCAGUAGCCGGACUGAGAGGUUGAACGGCCACAUUGGGACUGAGAUACGGCCCAGACUCCUACGGGAGGCAGCAGUGGGGAAUAUUGGUCAAUGGGGGCAACCCUGAACCAGCAAUGCCGCGUGAAGGAAGAAGGCCUUCGGGUUGUAAACUUCUUUGACCAGGGACGAUAAUGACGGUACCUGGAAAACAAGCCACGGCUAACUACGUGCCAGCAGCAGC